rnacentral:rRNA from 1 species
UAAAGAGAUAGGGUCUUCAUGGCCCGACCUCCACCCUCUGUUGUUAAACUACCUUGUUGCUUUGGCGGGACCGUCUCGGUCUCCGAGCGCACUAACCCUCGGGUUGGUGAGCGCCCGCCAGAGUCCAACCAAACUCUUGUAUUAAACCAGUCGUCUGAGUAUAAAAUUUUAAUUAAAUUAAAACUUUCAACAACGGAUCUCUUGGUUCUCGCAUCGAUGAAGAACGCAGCGAAAUGCGAUAAGUAAUGUGAAUUGCAGAAUUCAGUGAAUCAUCGAAUCUUUGAACGCACAUUGCGCCCCUUGGUAUUCCGAGGGGCAUGCCUGUUCGAGCGUCAUUACACCACUCAAGCAUCGCUUGGUAUUGGGAACGGUCCGUCGAAAGGCGGGCCUUCCUCGAAGACCUCGGCGGGGUUCAACCAACUUCGGGCGUAGUAGAGUUAAAUCGAACGUCUUAUAAGCUUGGUCGGAUCUCAUUGCCGUUAAACCUUUAAAUUUUCUAGGUUGACCUCGGAUCAGGUAGGGAUACCCGCUGAACUUAAGCAUAUC